UUUUUGCUUUGGUUUUCUUGUAGGGUUUUGCCACUAUAAAUAGAGCAAUCCUCACCCUCCACGAUCAUAUAUAUAUCCUACAUGCUAUGGUGCAUGAAUAAUUGAGGUAAGAGUAAUGAGAUGGGGGUGUGAAAAUGUGAGAGGCAGAGAAGAGAAGGGGAAGAUUUUGGACGCACACCAGUGUGGUACCAUCAGAACUUGUAUGAGGGGUGAUAGUGCCACCCUGUGUGCGUCUAAAAUACUUGCUCUUUGUAUUUUAAUGCCAAAACCCAAAACCAGGAAAUCAACUAUGGAUUGCAAAGGAAAUUGUGGCAAGGAGAUUCAAAGAGCAAGUCGGGCCAAAUAUGUUAUGAGGUUCCUGAAGUACAAUCGGUGCAGAGGGGCUUUAUUUAUUUAUUUUUCAUGUCUACAAAAGUUGAUGUAAAGCUGAAUUGUAGCACAGAUGUCCAGAUUGCGGCAACUUUCACAAGAAAUCGGCAAGGAUAACAUUAGGUGGGGGUUCUAAGGCAAUCUUUGCAGGCCACACAGCAUGGGAAUGAGUGAACAUUUUCCAGCAGAACGAACACUUUCAAGCAUCAUGGUACUUGUGUUUAUUUUUCUUUACACUGUGCUUGAGUUGAAAGAAGGAAAGAAAAUAAUUAGGUAAAAAUAAAUAAAUAAUUUUUAUUA